rnacentral:tRNA from 1 species
CAGCGCGAUGGCCGACGCCCUGCGCCGCGCGGGUCUGCUGGACCCGAAGAGCGGCCGCCGCUGAGCGGUGGAGCGUGGUCCCGGGCCCCCGUGCGCGGGCC